rnacentral:rRNA from 1 species
AGCUCCAAUAGCGUAUAUUUAAUUUGUUGUGGUUAAAAAGCUCGUAGUUGGAUUUCGGCGGGUUUUGGUCGGUUUGCUUUUUUUUAUUACUGCCCUUUUUUCUCGUGUUUUUUGCCAGGAUUUGGCGGGCGCUCUUUACCGAUUGUUCGGUUGAACUGGCUGGUUUACUUUGAAAAAAUUAGAGUGCUCAAAGCAAGCUUGACUGCUUGAAUAUUCGUGCAUGGAAUAAUAGAAUAGGAAGUUGUUUCUAUUUUGUUGGUUCUCGGAAAUCGACUUAAUGAUUAAUAGGGAUAGUCGGGGGCAUUUGUAUUCAAACGACAGAGGUGAAAUUCUUGGACCGUUUGAAGACAAACUACUGCGAAAGCAUUUGCCAAGAAUGUUUUCA